CAUCGGAACAGAAAGCAAAAGCACAUGGCAAACUAUUCUUUCGCCUUUUACUAAAGCAUACCGUGUGCACCCUGCAAUUAAUGACAUACGCUAAUUUUUGGAGGGGUUACUCUUUAUUUAGUACCC
rnacentral:snRNA from 1 species